rnacentral:rRNA from 1 species
GACGAACGCUGGCGGCGCGCUUAACACAUGCAAGUCGAACGGAAAGGCCUGCUUUCCCUUAUGGAUUGCGGGUACUCGAGUGGCGAACGGGUGAGUAACACGUGAGUGAUCUGCCCCCAACUUGGGUAUAAGCCUGGGAAACUGGGUCUAAUUCCCGAUAGGACUGCAGGGUGGUGCCUGUGGUGGAAAACGAUUUUCUAGUGGUUGGGGAUGAGCUCGCGGCCUAUCAGCUUGUUGGUGGGGUAAUGGCCUACCAAGGCGGCGACGGGUAGCCGGCCUGAGAGGGUGGACGGCCACAUUGGGACUGAGAUACGGCCCAGACUCCUACGGGAGGCAGCAGUGGGGAAUAUUGCACAAUGGGCGGAAGCCUGAUGCAGCGACGCCGCGUGGGGGAUGACGGCCUUCGGGUUGUAAACUCCUUUCGACCGCGAGGAAGCCACCUGGUUGGAAGGGUGGUGACGGUAGUGGUAGAAGAAGCACCGGCUAACUACGUG